UGCAGUCGAACGCUUUGUGGUCCAACUGAUUUGAAGAGCUUGCUCAGAUAUGACGAUGGACAUUGCAAAGAGUGGCGAACGGGUGAGUAACACGUGGGAAACCUACCUCUUAGCAGGGGAUAACACUUGGAAACAAGUGCUAAUACCGUAUAACACUAAUAACCGCAUGGUUAUUAGUUAAAAGAUGGUCUUGCUAUCACUAAGAGAUGGUCCCGCGGUGUAUUAGCUAGUUGGUAAGGUAAUGGCUUACCAAGGCAAUGAUACAUAGCCGAGUUGAGAGACUGAUCGGCCACAAUGGGACUGAGACACGGCCCAUACUCCUACGGGAGGCAGCAGUAGGGAAUCUUCCACAAUGGACGAAAGUCUGAUGGAGCAACGCCGCGUGUGUGAUGAAGGGUUUCGGCUCGUAAAACACUGUUGUAAGAGAAGAAUGACAUUGAGAGUAACUGUUCAGUGUGUGACGGUAUCUUACCAGAAAGGAACGGCUAAAUACGUGCCAGCAGCCGCGGUAAUACGUAUGUUCCAAGCGUUAUCCGGAUUUAUUGGGCGUAAAGCGAGCGCAGACGGUUAUUUAAGUCCGAAGUGAAAGCCCACAGCUUAACUGUGGAAGUGCUUUGGAAACUGGAUAACUUGAGUGCAGUAGAGGAGAGUGGAACUCCAUGUGUAGCGGUGAAAUGCGUAGAUAUAUGGAAGAACACCAGUGGCGAAGGCGGCUCUCUGGACUGUAACUGACGUUGAGGCUCGAAAGUGUGGGUAGCAAACAGGAUUAGAUACCCUGGUAGUCCACACCGUAAACGAUG
rnacentral:rRNA from 1 species